rnacentral:rRNA from 1 species
AUACGGAGGAUCCGAGCGUUAUCCGGAUUUAUUGGGUUUAAAGGGUGCGCAGGCGGCCAUUUAAGUCAGCGGUUAAAUCGUGGGGCUCAACCCCAUUCUGCCGUUGAUACUGGGUGGCUUGAUUGCGGUCGAGGUUGGCGGAAUUCGUUGUGUAGCGGUGAAAUGCAUAGAUAUGACGAAGAACACCGAUUGCGUAGGCAGCUGACCAGAUCGCAAAUGACGCUCGUGCACGAAAGUGCGGGGAUCGAACAGGAUUAGAUACCCUGGUAGUCCGCACAGUAAACGAUGAAUACUUGUUUUCGGCGAUAUAAUGUCGGAGGCAAAGCGAAAGCGAUAAGUAUUCCACCUGGGGAGUACGCCGGCAACGGUGAAACUCAAAUGAAUUGACGGGG